CCUACGGGAGGCAGCAGUGGGGAAUAUUGCACAAUGGGCGAAAGCCUGAUGCAGCGACGCCGCGUGAGGGAUGACGGCCUUCGGGUUGUAAACCUCUUUCAGCAGGGACGAAGCGCAAGUGACGGUACCUGCAGAAGAAGCACCGGCUAACUACGUGCCAGCAGCCGCGGUAAU
rnacentral:rRNA from 4 species